GGCGGCGUGCCUAAUACAUGCAAGUCGAGCGGAGAUCUUGGAGCUUGCUCCAGGAUCUUAGCGGCGGACGGGUGAGUAACACGUGGGCAACCUGCCCUGCAGAUCGGGAUAACUCCGGGAAACCGGUGCUAAUACCGAAUAGUUUGCGGCCUCUCAUGAGGCCACACGGAAAGACGGUUUCGGCUGUCACUGCAGGAUGGGCCCGCGGCGCAUUAGCUAGUUGGUGGGGUAACGGCCUACCAAGGCAACGAUGCGUAGCCGACCUGAGAGGGUGAUCGGCCACACUGGGACUGAGACACGGCCCAGACUCCUACGGGAGGCAGCAGUAGGGAAUCUUCCGCAAUGGACGAAAGUCUGACGGAGCAACGCCGCGUGAGUGAAGAAGGUUUUCGGAUCGUAAAACUCUGUUGUGAGGGAAGAACAAGUACCAACUAACUAUUGGUACCUUGACGGUACCUCACCAGAAAGCCACGGCUAACUACGUGCCAGCA
rnacentral:rRNA from 1 species